CUAGAAACAACAGUAUAAUUAGUUCUGCAUCACUGAGUCCAGUAACGCAGAGUCCAAUAAACUUUAUUGAUUAGUAAUUGAUGUUUAAGUAUCAUGUUUCUUAAUACGUAGUACCUUUGCAUUAUUAGUGGCACUCCAAGUGGUAGACCAAUUGCUAAGUAUUAUUUUGUAUUGUUUUACAUUUUAAAUUUUAUUAUAGUAGUACCAUUACUGCACGAAGAAUUGCUUCAAAACCAAGCUGUACAACUGACAGGUGAGUGUCUGUUUUAGUGUUAUUUUUUAUAAUUAUAGUGACAGGAGAAGUGGUAAAAAUAAGUUGAUACCAGAAAAACA